UUAAGGGUCCUGAAGGAACGUUGAAGACGACGACGUUGAUAGGCCGGGUGUGUAAGCGCAGCGAUGCGUUGAGCUAACCGGUACUAAUGAACCGUGAGGCUUAACCUUACAACGCCGAAG
rnacentral:rRNA from 3 species